GUAGAAUUCGAUAGUUGAAUAGUGUCCGACGCAUUUGGUUGAUGACAAGUCGGUCAUCCAUUGCCCGAUUCUUUAUCGAGUGUAUGCGUCGCGACGUGCGAUAAACGGUGGUAAGCCGAUUACCCUUCGAUCGAUCAUGAUUUGGUCGGUAUGUCGCGAACACGAUGUUGGUCGCAUUGGCGUUUUGCCUUUCUUGGCUGGAGCCAAGUCGGCAAUUUAGCCAGUCGCCUUGCUCGGGAGCUGGCUGAGGAAGGGGGGCGGCUUCAACUU
rnacentral:lncRNA from 1 species